rnacentral:lncRNA from 1 species
UUCAGGUGUGUGUGUCGCGUGGAUCAGGAAGGAGAAAAAGGGGAAAACCCCUAAUCAUCAUAAAUUUAGCAAAUUCAAGCCCUAGAUGUGAUCUUGAGUCGAUGCAUGUCUCGAUUUUGGAUCAUCUAUGCAUUCUUGAACACAAGGAAUCAUGGCGAGACGGAAUCAAGCACGGAAGGCUAACGGGUCAAGAAGUGGCAAGAAAACGGAUAUGAGCACGGAUGCAUAAGGAAUGAGUACAUAGGAUUCUUAUGAAAUUUAAGCCGAACCCGGAACAAGAAUAGGAGAAGGGUUAUUCGAAUGGAUCAAGCUGCAUUAUCGAACGUUACUAAAUCUUUAUUUAUUUGAGAUUAAUGUUAUAUGAUGUUGUCAUCGACUAAUGGCUAAGUUGUAUGUGAUGCCCACAGGUACUACACGGACUUCUUCUGCUGCUAAGGAAGUGAAGCGGACGUAGAUCGAGUCAAGAGCAAGGAUUGUACGGAUAGAUCGGUCACAUAGUUGAAGUAUAUAACGUCUAGAAAUCUAAAUUUUAGUACGAAUGUUGUGAAUUCUUUUAUAGACGUUUAACAUUUUUAGAAUUUGGAACCUUCAUGUAAAUAAUGUAGUUAAUAAGGAAAGAAAUUUUA